rnacentral:tRNA from 1 species
GGGUCCGUAGCUCAGUUGGUUAGAGUACUACCUUGACAUGGUAGGGGUCGCGAUUCGAGUUCGCCCCGGACCCACCA